ensembl:snRNA U4 U4 spliceosomal RNA
AGCUUUGCACAGUGGCAGUAUCAUAGCCAAUGAGGUUUAUCCGAGACGUGAUUAUGGCUAAUUGAAAACUUUUCCCUACUCAAAGGACCCUUACCCACUAGGCAUGCAAGAAAUCUCACCUUGCUUCAAAAGUUUAUAACAAGUGUUUGCUUUUUAAAAUCUUUAGUGAAAUAUUUUCUAAUU